UGGGGAAUAUUGGGCAAUGGAGGAAACUCUGACCCAGCGACGCCGCGUGCGGGAUGAAGGCCUUCGGGUUGUAAACCGCUUUCAGCAGGGAAGAAGCGAAAGUGACGGUACCUGCAGAAGAAGCACCGGCUAACUAUGUGCCAGCAGCCGCGGUAAUACAUAGGGUGCAAGCGUUGUCCGGAAUUAUUGGGCGUAAAGAGCUCGUAGGCGGUUUGUCGCGUCUGCUGUGAAAAUCCGAGGCUCAACCUCGGACCUGCAGUGGGUACGGGCAAACUAGAGUGCGGUAGGGGAGAAGGGAAUUCCUGGUGUAGCAGUGAAAUGCGUAGAUAUGUGGAGGAAUACCAAUGGCGAAGGCAGCCCCCUGGGAUAACACUGACGCUCAUGCACGAAAGCGUGGGGAGCAAACAGG
rnacentral:rRNA from 1 species